rnacentral:rRNA from 1 species
GUUUAACACAUGCAAGUCGAACGGAAACGAAAAUAGCUUGCUAUUUGGCGUCGAGUGGCGAACGGGUGAGUAACGCGUAGGAAUCUACCCAGUAGAGGGGGAUAGCCCGAAGAAAUUCGGAUUAAUACCGCAUAAUCUCUACGGAGUAAAGAAGGCCUCUUUACAAUGCUUUUACUAUUGGAUGAGCCUGCGUUAGAUUAGUUAGUUGGUAGGGUAAAAGCCUACCAAGGCGACGAUCUAUAGCUGGUUUUACGAGAAUGAUCAGCCACACUGGAACUGAGACACGGUCCAGACUCCUACGGGAGGCAGCAGUGAAGAAUAUUGGACAAUGGGGGAAACCCUGAUCCAGCAAUGUUGCGUGUGUGAAGAAGGUCCGAGGAUUGUAAAGCACUUUCAGUAAGCAAGAAAAAUGUAAAUCUAAUAGAUUUGCAUGUUGACCACUUAUAGAAGAGGCACCGGCUAACUCCGUGCCAGCAGCCGCGGUAAUACGGAGGGUGCGAGCGUUAAUCGGAAUUACUGGGCGUAAAGGGUAAGUAGGCGGUUUAUAAAGUCACAUGUGAA